GACGAACGCUGGCGGCGUGCUUAACACAUGCAAGUCGAACGGUAAGGCCCUUCGGGGUACACGAGUGGCGAACGGGUGAGUAACACGUGGGUGAUCUGCCCUGCACUUCGGGAUAAGCCUGGGAAACUGGGUCUAAUACCGGAUAGGACUCCGGACUGCAUGGUCUGGGGUGGAAAGCUUUUGCGGUGUGGGAUGGGCCCGCGGCCUAUCAGCGUGUUGGUGGGGUGAUGGCCUACCAAGGCGACGACGGGUAGCCGGCCUGAGAGGGUGACCGGCCACACUGGGACUGAGAUACGGCCCAGACUCCUACGGGAGGCAGCAGUGGGGAAUAUUGCACAAUGGGCGCAAGCCUGAUGCAGCGACGCCGCGUGAGGGAUGACGGCCUUCGGGUUGUAAACCUCUUUCAGUAGGGACGAAGCGCAAGUGACGGUACCUACAGAAGAAGGACCGGCCAACUACGUGCCAGCAGCCGCGGUAA
rnacentral:rRNA from 1 species